UAUACAUGAAAUAAAAGCAGCAAUUUGUCAUCAAUGAAAAUAUAAGUUGAACUCUAAAUAAGAAGAUCAUACACGAGAUAAAAGCGGCAAUUUGUCUACAAUCAAAAUUAAGAUAAUAAUAUUAAAUGGAGUCGGAUCAGGAUAUAUUCAGCGAAAUAUGUUCAGAAGUGGAAUUAAGUCAGUGGCAAGAAAAUGACGAAAUAAAAAUUCGAAAGCGUUAAUUUGGGGUGGAAUGUCCCCAUGACGAGCGCCAUUCACCAAAAAAGCCUUCAUCUUCCCAAACAUGUGUAGCCAUGUAAAGGCAGACACGCGGCAAUAAUAAUUAAACGCUAUCCAGAAAUGCCACAACCAAAUAUUGGCGAAACUGGACAGCAUCGACACCCGUCAACUGGGCGUUGUUAGCCAAAUGCCGGAACGUGGUGAGGUGCAAGCGCAAAGUAAGCUGUUGCACGAAUGCAAAGUGCUGAGAGGGUUCCACAUUCUGUUAGUCGCAUCACCGCGGAAAGCGAGGAGUCCAUGGAACUUGCUGCUAUGAUUCCCAUAUUAUCGGUGGAGCAAGUAAAGGCUAUUGAAGCCAAGUUGAAAAACAAAGCUUACGCCGACGCCAUGAUUAGGAUUCUGGCAAGAUCAAAAGGCAGGAAAGGAACGGUUAACGGGGUUAUGCGUUACCUUUUCACAGAUGACGCUAUGUACAGCUUUAUCUUAGAAGGAAGAGCAGGCAAGAUUCCAUUUCUUAGACUUAAGACGGUUGAACUUAUAUUUGACCUCUUUUCAGAAAAAGCAAAAGAAGAUAUCCAAGGCGCUAUUAGAAAAUAUGUUAGUUUAAGCCACAAUAGAUGCAACC